UACGGAGGGUGCAAACGUUGCUCGGAAUCAUUGGGCGUAAAGCGCGCGUAGGCGGCCCGGUAAGUCCGCUGUGAAAGUCAAAGGCUCAACCUUUGAAUGUCAGCGGAUACUGCCGGGCUAGAGUCCGGAAGAGGCGAGUGGAACUCCUGGUGUAGCGGUGGAAUGCGCAGAUAUCAGGAAGAACACCAACGGCGAAGGCAGCUCGCUGGGACGGAACUGACGCUAAGGCGCGAAAGCGUGGGGAGCGAACAGG
rnacentral:rRNA from 1 species